AUGUGACUGUGGAUCGAGCCCAUGUGAAGCCUCUUCGACGAGUCGAGUUGUUUGGGAAUGCAGCUCAAAAUGGGUGGUAAAUUUCAUCUAAAGCUAAAUACUGGCUGGAGACCGAUAGCGCACAAGUAGAGUGAUCGAAAGAUGAAAAGCACUUUGGAAAGAGAGUCAAACAGUACGUGAAAUUGUUGAAAGGGAAGCGCUUGCAACCAGACCUGUCCGUAGGUGAUCAGCCGCUGUUCUCAGUGGUGCACUCGCUCUGCGAUCAGGCCAGCAUCGGUUCGGGCGGUCGGAUAAAGGCCUUGGGAAUGUAGCUUCCUUCGGGGAGCCUUAUAGCCCUCGGUGCAAUGCGGCCAGCCGGGACCGAGGACCGCGCUUCGGCUAGGAUGCUGGCGUAAUGGUUGUAAGCGACCCGUCUUGAAACACGGACCAAGGAGUCUAACAUCUAUGCGAGUGUUUGGGUGUCAAACCCAUGCGCGGAAUGAAAGUGAACGGAGGUGAGAACCCUCAAGGGCGCAUCAUCGACCGAUCCAGAUGUCUUCGGAUGGAUUUGAGUAUGAGCAUAGCUGUUGGGACCCGAAAGAUGGUGAACUAUGCCUGAAUAGGGUGAAGCCAGAGGAAACUCUGGUGGAGGCUCGCAGCGGUUCUGACGUGCAAAUCGAUCGUCAAAUUUGGGUAUAGGGGCGAAAGACUAAUCGAAGCUGAGUGGAA
rnacentral:rRNA from 1 species